ensembl:lncRNA
UUGCAUGAUGUUUGCACAGCGUUAGCACAGUAUUUGCACAGCAUUUGCACGGUAUUUGCACAGCAUUUGCAUGGUGUUUGCACAGCGUCUGCACGGCGUUUGCACGGGGUUUGCACAGCGUUUGCAUGGUGUUUGCACAGCAUUUGCAUGGUGUUUGCACAGCGUCUGCACGGCGUUUGCACGGGGUUUGCACAGCGUUUGCAUGAUGUUUGCACAGCGUUUGCCCGGUGUUGGCACAGCAUUUGCAUGGUCUUUGCACAGCGCCUGCUCGCUGUUUGCACAGGGCUUGCACAGCGUUUGCCCAGCGCCUGCGUGGUGUUUGCGCGGGGUCUGCACGUUUCUUGCCCAGCGCCUGCGCGGUGUUUGCGCAGCGCUCGCGGAGCCCCUGCGGCGUGUUUGCAUUGGUGCUCGCAGCGGGUGUGCAGCGCCUUUGCACAGGCGCUCGCAGUGCGCUCGCGCGGUGUCUGCAUGCCCUUUGCACAGCAUUUGCACGGCGCUUGCAGUGCAUUCGCAGUGCGAUUGCACAGUGCUUGCAGUGGGCUUGCACAGCACGUGCUGCGCAUCGGCAGCAUUUCCGCAGUGCAUUCGCAGCGUGUUUCCAGUGCAAUUGCACAACCUCGGCAGUGCAUUUGCGGUGUUUUCCCAGUGCAAUCGCACAACCCUCGCGGUGCAUUCGCAGUGUGUUUCCAGUGCAAUUGCACAACCUUUGCGGUGCAAUCGCACAACCCUCGCGGUGCAUUCACGGUGUGUUCCCAGUGCAAUCACACAACCUUCGUGGUGCAACCGCACAACCCUUGUGGUGCAUUCACGGUGUGUUCCCAGUGCAAUCGCACAACCCUCGCGGUGCAACCGCACAACCCUCGCGGUGCAUUCACGGUGUGUUCCCAGUGCAAUCGCACAACCUUCGUGGUGCAACCGCACAACCCUUGUGGUGCAUUCACGGUGUGUUCCCAGUGCAAUCGCACAACCCUCGC